rnacentral:rRNA from 1 species
UGGGGAAUAUUGGACAAUGGGCGAAAGCCUGAUCCAGCCAUGCCGCGUGUGUGAAGAAGGUCUUCGGAUUGUAAAGCACUUUAAGCGAGGAGGAGGGUACUGGUAUUAAUACUACCAGGUACUGGACGUUACUCGCAGAAUAAGCACCGGCUAACUCUGUGCCAGCAGCCGCGGUAAUACAGAGGGUGCGAGCGUUAAUCGGAUUUACUGGGCGUAAAGCGUGCGUAGGUGGUUCGUUAAGUUGAAUGUGAAAGCCCCGGGCUCAACCUGGGAACUGCAUCCAAAACUGGCGAGCUAGAGUAGGGCAGAGGGUGGUGGAAUUUCCUGUGUAGCGGUGAAAUGCGUAGAUAUAGGAAGGAACACCAGUGGCGAAGGCGACCACCUGGGCUCAUACUGACACUGAGGUGCGAAAGCGUGGGGAGCAAACAGG